GGGGGUGUAGCUCAGUGGUAGAGCACAUGCCUGGCACUCAUGAGGUCCUGGAUUCAAUUCCCAGCGCCUCCG
rnacentral:tRNA from 1 species